GGUGCCAUUUUAUCAAUUUAUUCUUCAUGUGUGAUCAUUUCUGGUAAGGAACCCAUGGCACAAUGUUUAUUUAUGUCCAACCAAACCAGGCUUAUUUAUCAAUUUCAGCACUGAAAACCUCACCUUUUAGCUGAGGCACACAUGAAAUAGUGACUAAAUUGCAGAAUCUUUUGGAAUAUAUUUAUAUUCUUGGUGUAAGAGAUUGCAAAAAAAUGACAUGUUAAAUGUUAGAGAAAAAGGAUGCACAUGUACCUGGACAAAUGAGUGACUCCACUCCUUCCCUACCACCCAAACAUGCACAGACACACCAUCCUUUUGUUUCCUCUGUUUCUUUUUGUUUUCCUAAUUCUGAGGAGCGCUUUGCAAUUUCAUUUUAGUUUUCUUUGUUUGCGCCAAUAGCAUCUGCAUACUAUUUUUUCAUUUUUUAACAGUAUUUAUCAUUUUCUGCAUUCAUUGAACUUCAUUGAACUCUAAUUUUUUUAGUU
rnacentral:misc_RNA from 1 species